rnacentral:rRNA from 1 species
GCUCGUAGUUGGAUUUCGGAGCGGUGCGGUUGGUCAGCCGCAAGGUAUGUUACUGGCCGCGUUGUUCUUCUUCGCCAAGACUACGUGUGCUCUUAAUUGAGUGUGGGUAGGAUUUGCGACGUUUACUUUGAAAAAAUUAGAGUGUUCAAAGCAGGCUUUUGCUUGAAUACAUAAGCAUGGAAUAAUGGAAUAGGACUUUGGUUCUAUUUUGUUGGUUUCUAGAACCGAAGUAAUGAUUAAUAGGGACAGUUGGGGGCAUUCGUAUUUCGUUGUCAGAGGUGAAAUUCUUGGAUUUACGAAAGACGAACUAAUGCGAAAGCAUUUGCCAAGAAUGCUUUCAUUAAUCAAGAACGAAAGUUAGAGGAUCGAAGACGAUCAGAUACCGUCCUAGUUCUAACCAUAAACGAUGCCGACUAGGGAUCAGCGGGUGUUAUUGUAUGACCGCGUUGGCACCUUAUGGGAAACCAAAGUUUUUGGGUUCCGGGGGAAGUAUGGUUGCAAAGCUGAAACUUAAAGGAAUUGACGGAAGGGCACCACCAGGAGUGGAGCCUGCGGCUUAAUUUGACUCAACACGGGAAAACUCACCAGGUCCAGACAUAGUAAGGAUUGACAGAUUGAGAGCUCUUUCU